rnacentral:rRNA from 1 species
GACCCGGUGGUUAUGGCAGGGGGUCCCCACCCGAUCCCAUCUCGAACUCGGUCGUUAAGCCCCCUUGCGCUGAUGGUACUACGUCUUAAGGCGUGGGAGAGUAAGUCGCUGCCGGGUC